rnacentral:rRNA from 1 species
GAGCUUGCUCCCUGAUGUUAGCGGCGGACGGGUGAGUAACACGUGGGUAACCUGCCUGUAAGACUGGGAUAACUCCGGGAAACCGGGGCUAAUACCGGAUGGUUGUUUGAACCGCAUGGUUCAAACAUAAAAGGUGGCUUCGGCUACCACUUACAGAUGGACCCGCGGCGCAUUAGCUAGUUGGUGAGGUAACGGCUCACCAAGGCAACGAUGCGUAGCCGACCUGAGAGGGUGAUCGGCCACACUGGGACUGAGACACGGCCCAGACUCCUACGGGAGGCAGCAGUAGGGAAUCUUCCGCAAUGGACGAAAGUCUGACGGAGCAACGCCGCGUGAGUGAUGAAGGUUUUCGGAUCGUAAAGCUCUGUUGUUAGGGAAGAACAAGUACCGUUCGAAUAGGGCGGUACCUUGACGGUACCUAACCAGAAAGCCACGGCUAACUACGUGCCAGCAGCCGCGGUAAUACGUAGGUGGCAAGCGUUGUCCGGAAUUAUUGGGCGUAAAGGGCUCGCAGGCGGUUUCUUAAGUCUGAUGUGAAAGCCCCCGGCUCAUCCGGGGAGGGUCAUUGGACACUGGGGAACUUGAGUGCAGAUGAGGAGAGUGGAAUUCCACGUGUAGCGGUGAAAUGCGUAGAGAUGUGGAGGAACACCGAG